AUUGAACGCUGGCGGCAUGCUUUACACAUGCAAGUCGAACGGUAACAGGCCGCAAGGUGCUGACGAGUGGCGAACGGGUGAGUAAUGCAUCGGAACGUGCCCAGUCGUGGGGGAUAACGCAGCGAAAGUUGCGCUAAUACCGCAUACGAUCUAUGGAUGAAAGCGGGGGACCGUAAGGCCUCGCGCGAUUGGAGCGGCCGAUGUCAGAUUAGGUAGUUGGUGGGGCAAAGGCUCACCAAGCCGACGAUCUGUAGCUGGUCUGAGAGGACGACCAGCCACACUGGGACUGAGACACGGCCCAGACUCCUACGGGAGGCAGCAGUGGGGAAUUUUGGACAAUGGGCGCAAGCCUGAUCCAGCAAUGCCGCGUGCAGGAAGAAGGCCUUCGGGUUGUAAACUGCUUUUGUACGGAACGAAACGGUCCUGGUUAAUACCCGGGGCUAAUGACGGUACCGUAAGAAUAAGCACCGGCUAACUACGUGCCAGCAGCCGCAGUAAAAC
rnacentral:rRNA from 1 species